UUUAAUAAAAUAUAGGAUACAAUAUAACUAAGCAAAAUCAAACAGUUUUAGACAACCAAUACAAGAUUUUAGAACUUGACAUCGUGAUAAACAAAUUGUACAUUCAGGAACUCGUUUAAAUAUUAUAGGUUGAUUGACGAAUACUCUACAGUUGAUUAGAGCCCAUGAUGAUGCGAAGAUAAUUAAUAUCACCUAACUUCAAGAAACCAACGUAAAGAAGUUUACAUUCAUAACUCAUCUAACCAUUAUAGAUCAGUAAUGUCGUCAUAAUUUAAAUGAACUCACAGAUAGCAAUGGGGCACUGCACCGAAGCAGUAUUACAAAAUAUGUGAAAUAAAACUGUAAUACAAAUUGCUCUAUAAAAUUUAAUAGAAAUAAAUUUAUUUAUGAAAAUUAAGUUAUGAAGUUUUAUUUUUCCUAGGAAAAAAAUAACAUUUAUAUUUUGAUCAAUUUAGAACAUUACAGUUAAAAAAAUAUGUGUUAGAAUAACAUAUUUUUAAUAAAAUUGCAGCUUUUAAUUUUUAUACUUUUUUGCUUUUAUAUCAAUAAGAACUAACGUAAGGAACAAUUCAUAUUUAUACUAUGAAAACACAUGCAUAUUUUUUGAUGUUUUUAAAACCAGUGAAUGAUGUUGAAAUAUACUACACCUAUUAUUCUUAUUAACUAACUUUAAUUACAAACUUACACAUUAUUGUCAUUGGAAAUAAAUUAAUUUGGAUAUUCUA